GGAGAAUCCCUUCGCCGGCGUCCGGGAAGAGGCGGAGGAGCCGCCGGAGGAAGUUCACUGCAGCGAAUGGGGGGACCACCACGAUCGUUACAGCACCACGAGCUCCUCCAGCCAAGAAGAAGAAGAAGAAGACGAAGAUGAUCAGGCCAGAUCCGAGAUCGGGACGCGGUCGUCCGUCAAGUAUCAAUCUGAGAAGCAGCAAUCUCCUCCUCCACCGCCGCCGCAGAUAUAUCGGAAGGCUAGUAAGUCCG
rnacentral:lncRNA from 1 species